ACCGGCGCACGGGUGAGUAACGCGUAUGCAACCUACCUAUCAGAGGGGAAUAACCCGGCGAAAGUCGGACUAAUACCGCAUAAAACAGGGGCACCGCAUGGUGAUAUUUGUUAAAGAAAUUCGCUGAUAGAUGGGCAUGCGUUCCAUUAGGUAGUUGGUGAGGUAACGGCUCACCAAGCCGACGAUGGAUAGGGGAACUGAGAGGUUGGUCCCCCACACUGGUACUGAGACACGGACCAGACUCCUACGGGAGGCAGCAGUGAGGAAUAUUGGUCAAUGGGCGAGAGCCUGAACCAGCCAAGUCGCGUGAAGGAAGAAGGAUCUAUGGUUCGUAAACUUCUUUUGCAGGGGAAUAAAGUGCAGGACGUGUCCUGUUUUGUAUGUACCCUGAGAAUAAGGAUCGGCUAACUCCGUGCCAGCAGCCGCGGUAAUACGGAGGAUCCGAGCGUUAUCCGGAUUUAUUGGGUUUAAAGGGUGCGUAGGUGGUUUUAUAAGUCAGCGGUGAAAGUUUGCAGCUUAACUGUAAAAAUGCCGUUGAAACUGUAAGACUUGAGUGUAAAUGAGGUAGGCGGAAUGCGUGGUGUAGCGGUGAAAUGCAUAGAUAUCACGCAGAACUCCGAUUGCGAAGGCAGCUUACUAAGCUACAACUGACACUGAAGCACGAAAGCGUGGGGAUCAAACAGGAUUAGAUACCCUGGUAGUCCACGCAGUAAACGAUGAUUACUAGCUGUUUG
rnacentral:rRNA from 1 species